rnacentral:lncRNA from 1 species
AUGUCCGCCAUCUUUGGCUGCAAAGGAUGUAGUCAGUCUGAUAUCGGUGUUGACAACACGCUCUUCCGCCAGAAAAACAAGCUCAAGACAUCAUGGAAGCACCCUCGGUCAAAGCAUUGGCACCUCUUGGACUAUGUUAUUACACGUGCCAGAGACCGCCGCGAUGUGCUUCUCACAAGAGCCAUGACAGGUACUGAUGACUGCUGGACAGACCACAGGUUAAUCCUAUCCACAAUGGCUAUCAAGAUCGUCCCCAAACGCAGACUCCAAGGAAGAAAAACAAGGCGCAAAAUGAACACCCAAGCCCUUCAGGAGCCCUACAAACGAGCCCUUCUCCAAACAACACUCAAAGAUCAUCUACCCACAGAACACCCCGAAAAUGUUGAGGAACAUUGGAACAAACUGAAGACCUCCAUCAUCACAGCCUGCGAAGAAAGCAUUGGAUACCUAACUAAGAAACAUCAAGACUGGUUUGAUGAUAACGACAAAGAGAUCCAACAGCUAAUUGAUAACAAAAGGAAAGCCUUCCAAACAUGGCAGAGAGACACCAACUGUGCUGCCAAGAAAAAGAUUUAUGCCAGUGCAAAAGCUGAGGUCCAAAGAAGGACCAGAGAACUCAAGAACAUCUGGUGGACAAAGAAGGCUGAAGAAAUCCAACACCUUGCAGAUACCCAUGAUGCUCAGGGAUUUUUCAAAGCCACAAAGAUCAUUUACGGACCAAGAAACCAUGGCAUACAGCCCCUACGCUCAUCAGAUGGAACCAAAAUUCUGAAGGACAAAACAUCAAUUGCACUACGUUGGAAAGAGCACUACCAGAACCUGCUGAAUCGCAGCUCCAAUGUGGCCGAAGAGACCCUCUCACAAAUCCUGCAACAACAAACCAGGGAUGAGCUUGCAGCACUGCCUAGUUUGGAAGAAGUCAGCAAUGCCAUCAGCCAACAAAAAAACAACAAAGCCAGCGGACCUGAUGGGAUUCCUGCUGAAAUCUUCAAAGAGGGUGGACCUGAGCUGAUACAACAACUCCACCAGCUCAUUGAAAAGGUGUGGAUGACCGAGAAAAUCCCAGCAGACUUCAAGGAUGCCACCAUCAUCACCCUUUUCAAGAAAGGGGACAGAACAGACUGCGGGAACUAUCAUGGUAUCUCCCUUCUAACCUCCGCCGGGAAAAUCCUUGCAAGAAUCCUUGCAAACCACCUUCUCCCUGUCUCAGAAGACACCCUCCCAGAAUCCUAG